GCAGCCAAGCAGAUUCAGCCACUGCUCUAACUUCCAUCCGUAGAGUAAGAGAACGAAUCAACCAUCUUCUCACUGUAAGAAUUACUUUUGAAUAUAUUGCACAUUACUAUGAACUUUUCCACUUUCCAAAGGCACAUUGCUAACACUGACACAAGUCUUCAGGAAUGAGACUAUGAUCUAUACUGAUAGCACAAGACACUGACACUGGCUGUUCUGUGCUAUACCCCUGAAGCAGUUGUGCCCUUUUGAGAUAUCCCCAUAGAGAUUAUUAUACAGUGCUUGUGUAACCACGGAAGGGGUGAACACCAGGCAACAGAACAGUCUUUGUAGUAAACAAAUGCAUGUGUUGUGCAGCUCAGCUGAACCUAGGACUCACAGGGGAGUGUUCCAUCCAUCAGGACACGUGCCGUGGCAUCGUAUGUUUUGUGAACAUUUCAAGCAGUCAUCAAGGCCAUGCUGAAGGGAUAGAGAAUGGUUCUAACAUCUAACAUCUGGAGACCACAUUUUCAGUUUGGACAAGGCAUGGUUCCAUAAGGAUUGGGGAAAUGACAUAUGCUGCUCUUAAUAUCAGAGUCCCCUUCCUUCCCAUUGAUGAAAUCAAGGAAGAACUACUCAAGAAGUUUUCUGACCUGCUCUGUGUAUUGUAGCUCUUGUGACAUCAUACUUUACUGGCUAUUAGAAAAGUGUGGGGCGAGAUGAACUCGCAGGUUAACCAGGUAUAUUGUAUUUUUACAAGCUAUUUACUUGUUUGCCUAAAAAUAAAUCUAUCUUCC
rnacentral:lncRNA from 1 species